rnacentral:rRNA from 1 species
GGAUGAACGCUAGCGGCAGGCCUAACACAUGCAAGUCGAGGGGUAGAAGUCUUCGGACUUUGAGACCGGCGCACGGGUGCGUAACGCGUAUGCAAUCUACCUUGUACAGAGGGAUAGCCCAGAGAAAUUUGGAUUAAUACCUCAUAGUAUAUUUGAAUGGCAUCAUUUAGAUAUUAAAGUUCCAACGGUACAAGAUGAGCAUGCGUCCCAUUAGUUAGUUGGUGUGGUAACGGCAUACCAAGACGAUGAUGGGUAGGGGUCCUGAGAGGGAGAUCCCCCACACUGGUACUGAGACACGGACCAGACUCCUACGGGAGGCAGCAGUGAGGAAUAUUGGUCAAUGGAGGCAACUCUGAACCAGCCAUGCCGCGUGCAGGAUGACGGUCCUAUGGAUUGUAAACUGCUUUUAUACGGGAAGAAAACGAGUUACGUGUAACUAACUGACGGUACCGUAAGAAUAAGGAUCGGCUAACUCCGU